rnacentral:rRNA from 1 species
CCCCGUCGCCCGGCCGGCUGCUCGGCGGUACGCGCAUGGUAUCAGGCCGCACUAUUUUACGGUGCGUCGAGGCCGUCGCAAGCGCGCGCCACGGUACUCGGAGGUUACGGACUUUGCGCCGUCCCCGGUCCUGGUCCGCUGUUGGUUAAAGUACGGUUCACCUUCGACAGGCCUGCGAACGUCUCUCCCCGGAGAGACCGAUACCGGUCGGCGACGCUACUGCUUUGGGUACUCUUAGGACCCGUCUUGAAACACGGACCAAGGAGUCUAACAUGUACGCGAGUCAUUGGGACUUGUCGCGAGACCUAAAGGCGUAAUGAAAGUGAAGGUCGGCCCUGGCCGUCGACCGAGGGAGGAUGGGCCGCGUCGCGAUGCGGCCUCGCACUCCCGGGGCGUCUCGUUCUCAUCGCGAGAAGAGGCGCACCCAGAGCGUACACGUUGGGACCCGAAAGAUGGUGAACUAUGCCUGGUCAGGACGAAGUCAGGGGAAACCCUGAUGGAGGUCCGUAGCGAUUCUGACGUGCAAAUCGAUCGUCGGAAC